GAAAAGGCUCCUUGGGUCUCCUGCUGCUGACCGUCUUUGGUGAAUUUUCCUUGUAGAGGUUUCCUGCUUUCUACUGCCGAUAUGUAUUUAGAUUCCCCCCGUUCCUUUUGCUUUUUUCGCGUAGGAGGGCUUCAUAAUUUGUUGCAUUUCUUAUGCAUGGAGGAAAAGUAUAGAUGCUUCUACAAUAGCGUCUCUAAAGGGCAAUAGUUUAUUUUAAGGUGAGUAUAGAAAAAUCCCACAUCUCAUAUUUCUUUUGCGGUUUUUUUUAAAAAUAUGUGAAUAGGUGUGAUUCCGAGAAAGGUAAUCUAUGCUAUGUAAGCUUAUAGGAAAUGCUCUGCAGCCAGGUGAACUCAUUGUUGUGGCGUUCUGAGCCAAGCAGAAAGGAAAUGCCCUACAGCCAGGUAAACUCAUAGUUGUGGCUUUCUGGGAGCCAAUAUGUUUAAGGUUAAUAUAUAUCUUUCCUGUAGUUUUAAAUGCUCUGUUUUAUCCCUGAAAUAUCUAAAAUGAAACAUUAUGCUUAAUUUGAGAUUGACAGUUUAUUGGUCCUUGAUUAAAGUGCUCCUCUAGCA